GACGAACGCUGGCGGCGUGCUUAACACAUGCAAGUCGAACGGAAAGGCCCUGCUUUUGUGGGGUGCUCGAGUGGCGAACGGGUGAGUAACACGUGAGUAACCUGCCCUUGACUUUGGGAUAACUUCAGGAAACUGGGGCUAAUACCGGAUAGGAGCUCCUGCUGCGUGGUGGGGGUUGGAAAGUUUCGGCGGUUGGGGAUGGACUCGCGGCUUAUCAGCUUGUUGGUGGGGUAGUGGCUUACCAAGGCUUUGACGGGUAGCCGGCCUGAGAGGGUGACCGGCCACAUUGGGACUGAGAUACGGACCAGAAUCCUACGGGACGCAGCAGUGGGGAGUAUUGCACAAUGGGCGGAAGCCUGAUGCAGCAACGCCGCGUGCGGGAUGACGGCCUUCGGGUUGUAAACCGCUUUCGCAUGUGACGAAGCGUGAGUGACGGUAAUGGGUAAAGAAGCACCGGCUAACUACGUG
rnacentral:rRNA from 1 species